rnacentral:misc_RNA from 1 species
AGGAGCAGCCAAAUGUUGUGAUCUGCCAAAGAAAAGAAAAGGGAUAUUUUAGGAAUGAUCCAAAGAUAGGGGAAAACUUUUACUCAUCAUCUUUAAAUUUUGGGGCUGUUUCAUUUAUGUCCCUCAAGUUUAAUUUGUUACAAUAAAAAUUACUCAACUUUAGUUUUAUUAAUUUAAAAGUCAUCCUUUACAUGUUUUACCUGUUGCAGCAGGUUUUCAAAUUACCGAAGUAAAAAUUACCUAAAUAACCUCCUCCUAACACCUCUCAUUCUCUUCA